rnacentral:rRNA from 1 species
GACAACCUGGUUGAUCCUGCCAGUAGUCAUAUGCUUGUCUCAAAGAUUAAGCCAUGCAUGUCUCAGUACAAGCCAAAAUAAGGUGAAACCGCGAAAGGCUCAUUAAAUCAGUUAUGGUUCCUUAGAUCGUACCAACAUUUACUUGGAUAACUGUGGUAAUUCUAGAGCUAAUACAUGCAAACAGAGCUUCGACCGGAGACGGAAGAGGCGCUUUUAUUAGAUCAAAACCAAUCGGCGGCGGGUCCGCUUGCGGGCUCGUCGUCGUUUUCACUGACGAAUCUGAAUAACUUUCUGCUGAUCGCACGGUCUCGCACCGGCGACGCAUCUUUCAAAUGUCUGCCUUAUCAACUGUCGAUGGUAGGUUCUGUGCCUACCAUGGUUGUAACGGGUAACGGGGAAUCAGGGUUCGAUUCCGGAGAGGGAGCCUGAGAAACGGCUACCACAUCCAAGGAAGGCAGCAGGCGCGCAAAUUACCCACUCCCGGCACGGGGAGGUAGUGACGAAAAAUAACGAUACGGGACUCAUCCGAGGCCCCGUAAUCGGAAUGAGAACAAUUUAAAUCCUUUAACGAGGAUCAAUUGGAGGGCAAGUCUGGUGCCAGCAGCCGCGGUAAUUCCAGCUCCAAUAGCGUAUAUUAAAGUUGUUGCGGUUAAAAAGCUCGUAGUCGAAUCUGUGUCCCGCGCCGCCGGUUCGUCGCUCGCGGCGUUUAACUGGCGUGUCCGCGGGACGUCCUGCCGGUGGGCUUAGCCUUUUCAUUAAGGCGGCCCAAUCUUAAUCCCGCCGCGGUGCUCUUCACCGAGUGUCGAGGCGGGCCGGCACGUUUACUUUGAACAAAUUAGAGUGCUUAAAGCAGGCUAAAACUUCGCCUGAAUACUUCGUGCAUGGAAUAAUGGAAUAGGACCUCGGUUCUAUUUUGUUGGUUUUCGGAACCCCGAGGUAAUGAUUAAUAGGAACGGAUGGGGGCAUUCGUAUUGCGACGUUAGAGGUGAAAUUCUUGGAUCGUCGCAAGACGGACAGAAGCGAAAGCAUUUGCCAAAAACGCUUUCAUCGAUCAAGAACGAAAGUUAGAGGUUCGAAGGCGAUCAGAUACCGCCCUAGUUCUAACCAUAAACUAUGCCAGCUAGCGAUCCGCCGAAGUUACUUCUAUGACUCGGCGGGCAGCUUCCGGGAAACCAAAGCUUUCGGGUUCCGGGGGAAGUAUGGUUGCAAAGCUGAAACUUAAAGGAAUUGACGGAAGGGCACCACCAGGAGUGGAGCCUGCGGCUUAAUUUGACUCAACACGGGAAACCUCACCAGGCCCGGACACCGGAAGGAUUGACAGAUUGAGAGCUCUUUCUUGAUUCGGUGGGUGGUGGUGCAUGGCCGUUCUUAGUUGGUGGAGCGAUUUGUCUGGUUAAUUCCGAUAACGAACGAGACUCA